AUCCAGCUGACGAGUCUCAAAUUAAACGAAACGCACGUCCUGAAU
rnacentral:hammerhead_ribozyme from 1 species